UUUAGAAGCCCAAAUUCGCUGGCCCAGUAAAAAUAAAAACAAUGGCCCAAAACAAAAAUUAAAAACCUAGCCCAACUAAACCCAAAACCAACAGCAAAAAGAUAGCAGAAAAAGAAAAGAGAACCCUAGGUGCCCUUAGGCCUGCCAUUGCCACUGUCUCUGUUCGUCGCCGCCGAACGCCUCCUCCACGCGUGUCUGACACCUGCAAGAGACCACCAAACAAGGCAACAACAGUAAUAAAUGGCAAAAGACAAGGAUUGGAAACAGAACGGUUUUUGUAAUUUGGCUAUAAAAAAGCCACAAUAUCUCUUUGUACUUUUUUACGAACACCCAUCGAUAAAUCGAAAAUCAGAAACUGAAGUUCCAAAAGGUUGUUCUUCUUUUAAAAAAAACUGUUCUCUUCGUUCUCUUUUCCAUAGUUUUUGUUUUUUUUUUCUUUUCUUUUAUUUCAAAUAUAUUUAAAAGUAAUUAAAAAACAAAAAAAAGAAAAAAAAGAAGGUUACCUGAAUCGGCCCCUAGGCCCGCCGUCGAUGGUGAUUCACCGUCGCCGGAUGUGGCUUCAAGGAGGGGCCGAAGUUCUUCUCUUUCCCCUCGUCUCUUCGUUCCAUGGCCUCGUCCCAUGAGCGCGUUUCAAGGCGCCGAUAGAAGCCCUCUUCGCACAGCUCCGAUCACCGGACAACGGAGGCAUAGCGGCGGCGGGGUUUCAAUCUUGGAACCCUAGCAGAGGAGGGGGGCUUCCCUUUAUUUUUUCUUUUUUUCUUGCGUUCUGUAAAGAAUGAAGCAGCAGAAAAAUAAAGCAAUUUUUUUAGUUUUUAUUUUGAUUGUGAUACGGCGCCGUUUAAAGGGGGGAGAUUUGCGCAUGCUUUGCCCUAAAUGGGUAAUUUAUGCAUUUAGUCCCUCCGUUUUGCGCUGAAGCGCAAUCCAACUUUCUAUUUCUUUUAGAUUUGGGCUGUGAAUUUUGUUUUUUGUUUCAAUCAGGUCCUUUGACCGUGUACAGGCCUUUGCGCUGAAACGCUGCGUCUUGGACUGGGGAAUAUUUCCCUGAGGGUCCUUCGAGCCUUGAGCGCGCUUCAUUUCAGCCCCUGCCCCUUUUGUUUGCGAAUUUGGUCCCAAAUUAUUGGCCUGAUUCCAAUUCGAUCCUCGGCCUUUUUAACUUCAAGUUUUUUUUUUAUUUUUAUUUUAUAUAAAUAUACAUAUUUAAAAACCAGUUUUAUUUAAUAUUUUACUUAAUGUUAUAUAUGUAUUUUUUUAAAAAAAAUUUCAGAUUUUGUCAUAUAUAUGUACAUGCAUGCUUCUUAAUACGUACAUAUUUUUACAAUCAAUAUAUAUACAUACUUAUAUUUUUUAUAUAUGCUACAAUCUAUAUGGUCUUUUUUAUUUUCAUAUAUACAUGUAUAUACACAUUUUUUUUAUAAUAUACAUACGCACAUAUUUUAUGUUAUAGAUUUAUACGUACACGUGUUUUAUAUUUUAAAACUCCUACAUAUGUAUAAACAUAUAUUCCUCUUUUGUGUAUACUUUAUAAUCUAAAAAAAAUAAGUAUACCUAUAUACAUUUUUAAAUGUACAUAUGAACAUACUUACAUUUUUAUUUUAUAAUACUUACAGAUUUUUUUAUUUAAUAUAUAUAUAUAUUUAUAUACAUUUUUAUACUCUAUAAUUUAUAUGCAUUUCUUAUUUUCAUAACUUAAAAUUAUACAUGCAUACAUAUUUUUUACAUAAUUGUAUUUAUUUCAUUUAUUAUCAUUGUUAUUUGGUGUUUAUUUAUUUAUUUAUUCAUGUACACUUUUACUUUUCUAAAAUGUUAGUUCUAUUUAUUUAUUCGUUUGCGUUGUUUAUGUAAUCGCCUCGUCAUUUCAUUUUGCCUAUUGUAUUGUUGUUACUCACAUUACUUUGCUUACCUUGUCGUAUUCGUUAUUGUUUUGUCAUGCAUUAACACCAAACAUCAAAAGGAAAGUUUUUUCUAAAUAAGGCAAUAUUUCGCGUUUGGAAAAUCGAGGAAACGUGCCCUAACGUGUUGGGUUUCGACUUCUCGUUUGACCAAAUAGCCAAAUAUUCUUUUUAAACUUUUAAAAUAAGGCAAUACUUCGCGUUUGGAAAAUCGAGGAAACGUGCCCUAACGCGCUGGGUUUCGAUUUCUCGUUCGACUAAAUAGCCAAAUAUCCUCUUAAAACUUCAAAGUAUGGUUUCAUUAAACUAUAAGGUGAUCUUGGUUUCGAUGGUUUAGAGUAUCGUGUCCUAACGUGCUGGAUGUGAUAUUCCUUCGGAACAAGAGAAUCUUAUAUUUCAAUUCACGUUAUCAGAGUUUCUUUUAAGGACCGUAUCUUUAAAACUCUUCAAAUUUUCGAUUUUUGACACUAGGACACUAAGUAAUCAAUUAGGUACCAAUUUUGGGUGUAUCGAGGGUGCUAAUCCUUCCUCGUUUGUAACCGACUCCCGAACCCAUCUUUCUGAAUUUCGUAGACCAAAAUCGUUGUUUUAAUAAAAAUUAAAUCGUUUAUUAAAAACAAUCACUUUUCGAGGUGACCCGAUCACACCUUAUCGAAAAAAGAUUGGUGGCGACUCCCGUUUUCGUUUUCGUUUUCAAAAUCCAAGUCGACCCCGUUUUUAUCAAAAAAAAUGGUGUCAACAGCUUGGCGACUCCACUGGGGAUAAAUAAGAGAGUCAAGCCUUAAAUUGAUUAAUUUUUAUCUUUUUUGUCAAAAAUUGAAAUUUUGAUUUUUGAUAUAUGAUCUUUUCAUUACAUUUCAUCUGUUUUUGAGUUUGAGCUCUUAUCAUGUCUGAUAUUUUACAUUUUUUUAUAUCUUUACACAUUGCAUUUGCAUGACCGUUGGUCACACCCUCUUAAGUGGGAGUGAGAAACUACGCCUUCGUGAGGUUUUCACCUCCGCAUGGGAUAGUGGAUCACUUUCGGGAUACAUCCGUACCUAUGUCUUCGUGAGAUUUUCAUCUCCGCAUGGCCAUAGGGAAAUGUAUUCCCCUGAACCGAACUCGGUCCGUAUGAGCCUAUAAUGGGCGAGGAUCGAGGAAUCUGCUGGUUCGGGUACCCUUGCUUUAGAACCAAACCGCAUAUAGAAUACCUUAGGAGCCCACCUUAGGUAGAGCCACUUCAAACCCCUAGUGGUCACCCGAAUAGGUGUUCUAUUUAUUCUUUCUUGCUUUUGCUUUGUACUAACCUGUUUCGUUUUGUUUUGGUUAUGAUUGCAUUGCAUUUUCAUCUUAAAAAAAGAGGUGUUGAUUCACGUUCAGUUACUAAAUAGAGAGCUUUUCAUAAGAAAAUGGGUUUCUUGAUAAAGUGGAUGAUAAUACGGUUGUCAAAAUAUGGUCCAAGAAAACAUGAUAAGAGGAGGAUGAUAGUUUAAUGGAGGACUAUACAACCAUUGCUCCGUUGCCCGAGAAUUCAAGGUGACAAAGAUUAUUCGAGAGCCGCUGAACUUUCGUAAAGAGAAGCAAACGAGUAUCACGAGGAUGAGUGAGUAACGAGUCGCGGCUUGGAUGAAGAAAAAAGAGAUAGAAGAGGAUCGAAUGCCCCCGCCUAUGACGGCAAAACCGUAUAUAUAUCCGCUUUAUGUAAAGAGAUUUGUUUUCUAGUCAAGUUCUUCUAAUAGAAUUGAACCAAGAAUCAACGUCUCUUUUUGCAUUCAUUUCAUGCAUUUGCAUUACAUUGCAUCAUAUGCAUUAGAUUUUCACGAAGUGACCCUAAUUAGGUAAAAUUAUUUCAGUUACCCUGGAAACCAACAAGAAUCCGCCAACCACAUAUUGUUACGGUACCCGCCGCCAAACAAAAGCAAUGGAUCAGAGGUUAGAAAGGCUGGAACAAAUGCAAAAAGAAAUGCAAGAUAAGAUGCAAGAACAAUUGGAUAAAAUUCAACAAGACGCGCUGGAAUCCCAAAGAAUUAUGAACCAACUAGCACAAUUAUUGGCUGAUAAAGGAAAGAGCCCUGCAAUUAAUUCGAGAAUUGAUCAGGACGACCCUGUUUAUCCUCCAGGUUUUACCCCGACAAGCACUCAGGCACAGCUAGAUAUGUGCCCCCAAAGAGCACCUGUCACUAUUGGACCUCGAUAUCGGGUUGGCGCCUCGGUACCAAUGCACUUUCAAGUAGGCUCGGGUUCUAAUCCCGGGGAUAACCCUACCAACCCUGUGGUCCCUGAUCUCAAUGACAUGGCAGAAAUGGAAAAAGUAAGAAUAGACCUGCCAAAACAACUCGAGGACCGGUGUAGAUGGCUAGAGGAGAAAUUUAGAGCCAUGGAGAACACCGACUACCAAUGCGGAGUUGAUGCCAAGGAUUUGAGCUUGGUCCCUGGUUUAGUGCUUCCACCUAAGUUCAAGAUGCCGGAGUUCGAAAAAUAUAACGGGACUAGUUGUCCUGAAGCUCAUAUAACUAUGUUCUGUCGAAGGAUGACGGGAUACAUCAACAAUGAUCAACUGUUGAUCCACUGCAUCCAAGACAGUCUGAUCGAUAUGGCUGCCAAAUGGUACAACCAACUGAGCCGUGCCAACAUCCAUUCAUGGAAUGACUUACACGAACUUUCAUGAAGCAAUACAACCAUGUAACAGACAUGACGCCUGAUAGAAUCACACUGCAGAACAUGGAAAAGAAGCAAAGUGAGAGCUUUAGGCAAUACGCCCAGAGGUGGAGAGAAGUGGCAACGCAAGUCCAACCUCCACUCCUAGAGAAAGAGACAACCAUGCUUUUCAUUAAUACUUUGAAGGUUCCAUUUAUUAACCACAUGAUUGGAAGUGCUACUAUGAGCUUCUCAGACAUGGUAAUGUCUGGCGAGAUGAUUGAAAACGCCAUAAGAAGCGGGAAGAUAGAUGCGGGAGAAAGUGCCAAAAGAUCAACCCCAAAGCACAAAGAAAAUGAAGUGAGCAACCUGAGCUUGUAUAAUAAAGGGUAUUCAAAGGCGGUCACUGUAGGUCGGCCAAGGACAGUAACAGCUAGCUAUCAAAACCCCUCAAAGCAAGAAUCCAACUCGAGGCCAAGCACAGAAAAACUCCAGUUCACACCUAUCCCGGUGACAUAUAAGGAGUUGUAUCAGAAAUUGUUUGAUGCCCAUGUAGUAGCUCCAUUCUACUCCAAACCCAUGCAACCUCCAUACCCCAAAUGGUACGACACGAACGCUAAAUGCGAGUAUCACGCAGGAACUACGGGGCACUCGAUCGAAAACUGCACUACAUUUAAAAAGUUAGUUGAAAGGUUCAUUAAUAUGGGGAUCGUGAAGUUCGAUGAUCCAUCGGGACCUAAUGUAACAGGAAAUCCGUUACCCAGUCAUCCAGACCCAGAAGUAAACGCGAUAGCCGAGGGUGGAGGAAAGAGGACCAAAACCAAUGUUGCAGAAGUAAAAACCCCACUGAAAUGGGUUUUGAAACAAAUGAUAGACGUGGGAUUAACCAUUCAGAAUUUGGAGAAAAGACCAAAAGGGGUGAGGAGCUACUGUGAGUUCCACGCUAAAGAAGGCCAUGAAAUCGAAGAGUGCGCCGAAUUCAAAGCCUUGCUGUAAAGUCUAAUGGAUAAUAAAGAGUUGGAAUUCUUUGAAGAAAACAAAGACCCGGAAGGACUGUAGGGAAAUUCAAACACUAACGAGGGAGCUGGAGAAGAGAAUUUGUGAAGGGUUUGCCCUUAAUACACUUGGGAGUGUUUUGAACAAAAGAACUGUGGAAGAGAUCCUUGUAUUUUUAGACCUAAUUCAAAGUAAUGUCCAGAACAUGCUUAUUGCUCUAAGCCUAGGAGUAAUAAGGAUCCUUUUGUGAGAUAGGCUUAUGUUCAAUAUCUUUGUUUCAAUAAAAAUGCAUUUUUGUUUCUCACUUUGGGCAAAUAUUCUUUCAUUGUUUACAUUUCAUUCAUAAUCCUACUGUACAGAUAAAUAUUCUUAGAUUCUUUUAUUUUUUGGAACUGCUUCCGUCCCUACAACAGGUCUCCAGAUAUCGAAGACAUGAGCGACACUGCUAUUGACUCAGAAUCUCUUUUUGAGCAAGAUAUGUGUCUAGAUGAGCCUCAGGACUUUGAAGAUGACUGUGAUUGUAGCUCAUUCCCUGAUUUGUUAAUGAUGGUAGAACAAGAUCCUACCUUACAGAGAAUCAAUGGAAGUCAUGAUUUUUCUCUAUGUGGGGCAUGAACGUCAUUGGGCCGACCUCGCUAAAAGCUUCUAGCGGUCAUUGAUUCAUCUUUGUGUUCGUCGAUUACUUCAUCAAAUGGGUAGAGGUUGUUUCAUAUGCCAAUAUCACAAAGCUAACAAUCAGCAAAUUUCUUGAAGAAUCAUAUGUCAACAUGGAAUGCCAAAAAGGAUCAUCUUAGACAAUGCAUUGAAUUUGAACAACCGCACGAUAUCAAAAGUUUGUAGUCUGUUCAAGAUUAACACCAUGUCACCUCAAAAUGAACAGUUCAGUGGGGGCAAAAAAAGGGGUAAAAAAGUAAAAAAAAGUAAAAAGAAAGAAAAAAACCUCUACUGGGGCACCUCAUUUCUCAUUGGCAUAUGGAAUAGAGACAAUAAGUUGAUAUUCCUUCCCUUCGAGUCUUGUCGGAGUUGAAGUUGGAUAAAGCAGAAUGGAUCCAAGCCCGAUAUGAUCAGUUAAAAUUUGAUUGAAGAGAAAAGGUUGAAAGCUAUCCGUCAUGGUCAAAUGCAACAAAGGCGAAUGAUGCGAGCUCGCCAAAAAGGUUCGCUCCAGAGAAUUCUAUGAGGAGCACCUGAUAUCGAAAAAGAUCCUUGCCAUACAAAAGGACUUCAAAAGAAAGUGGAUGCCAAAUCGAGAAGGACCUUAUGUGGAAGUCCUUAUCUAGGAGAAUGUCGGUAUUGACCAAGAUAGAUGGCAAGAACUUGCCUAAUCUUGAGAAUUUUGAUGCAAGCAAUAAAAACUUCACUUGAAAAAAAAAGAAACAAAAAGAAAAAAGUAAAAGUAAAACGAAAAAGAAAAGAGAAAAAGGAGAGGCCAAGGUGAAAACCUGCAAAGGGCGCCUUAGGACCAAAGGGUUUUGAAUUGAAAACCCAGGAAUGGGCAGUUCAAAUUUUGAUCAAAGUUGGGGCAUGUGGUAGUCUUGUCCUCUCUGAAUUAAUAAGAAGGAGAGAUGCUACAUCUUGGGGGCAUCAACAAAGUCUUUUAAGACUUCGAGACACAUAUCAAGUUCAAAAGGGUCCUCAAGAAGUUUGGGGCAGAGAAGCUCGUGCUAUGAUAUCUGGGGCACCUAUUUCCAUUUUAUUCAUUUUUGUAUUUUUGACAAAAUACGCCAUCUUGAUUAAUUUAUUCUCAUUUUGUAUUCUAGCAAAAUUUGCUAUCUUGAUUAAUUUGUUCAUUUACAGCUUUGCUCUCAAUAAAUUUCCAUCUUAUCCAUUGUGAUAAUCUUUUUCAUCUUAUACAUCUCGUAUCUCAGCAAAAUUUACUGUCUUGAUUGAUUUGUUUGUUUAGAGCUUUGCUCUCAACAAAAUUUCAUUUUGUCCAUUUUGAUAAUCUUUUUCAAGCAUUUUUCAUUGAAAUAAUGAUUAAUGGACUGACAACACUCAUGCAGAAGGAGUUCUGCAUAUUACUCUGAAAGUUUCUAAAUAAUACGAGGACCUGAAACAGGACUAUUGUUUAGAACUGACCAAACCUGAGGGUUGAAAACAUUUGAGAAAGGAUAGUCUAAAUUGAGACUAUUUCUUUGAAUCUUCUGUCAAAAAUACUUGCUGAACGGGAAAACAUCAGUAAUAGAACCUUGACAAACAACGAGGAACGACAACCCAAACAUUAAAAAGGGAUCAUUCUCAUUACAUUCUACAUUCAUGCAAAUAUCAUUCAUGCACAUCUAGUUAGGAGCAUUUGAUUUAUUCUGAUCAUGUCAUCCUAAACACUAGGCAUAAAUAGGUCCAUAAAAUGGAUUUUACAGGUCAUGUUCCCCAGAGAACAGAUCAAAGAAACAGAUCCUACCCCUGAAGUUGCAGUGGGAUGGAUUGAAGAAAGCAGAUCUUGUCUUCAUGUAUUGGCGUGAAGUAGAUCGAAGAUAGCAGGUCCUGUCUUCCUAUAUUGGUAGGAAGUGGAUCGAAGAUACAGAUCUUGUCUUCCUAUAUUGGUGCGAAGUAGAUCAAAGAAAACAGAUCUUGUCUUCAUGUAUUGGCGUGAAGUAGAUCGAAGAUAGUAGGUCCUGUCUUCCUGUAUUGGUAGGAAGUGGAUCGAAGAUGUAGAUCUUGUCUUCCCAUAUUGGUGGCGAAGUAGAUCAAAGAAAACAGAUCUUGUCUUCAUGUAUUGGCGUGAAGUAGAUCGAAAAUAGUAGGUCCUAUCUUCCUAUAUUGGUAUAAAGUGGAUCGAAGAUGCAGAUCUUGUCUUCCCAUAUUGGCGUGAAGUAGAUCGAAGAAAACAGAUCAAUGAAGUUACCUUCCCUGGCAGUACAGUGGAGCAGAUUAAAGCUAGAACGGCGAAUCUUACUUUCCUGGCGAUGCAGUGGAUCAGAUUGAAGCUACAACGGUGAAUCUUGUUCCCCGACAUUGCAAUUAAAGAGAUUGAAGCCAUAACGGUGAAUCUCACUUCUCUGGCAGUACAGUGGAGCAGAUUAAAGCUACGACAGUGAAUCUUGCUUCCCUAAUAUUACAAUUUAAAAGAUUGAAGCCGCAACGGCAAAUCUUACUUUCCUGGCGAUGCAGUGGAUCAAAUUGAAGCUACAACGGCGAAUCUUGUUCCCCGACAUUACAAUUAAAGAGAUUGAAGCCACAAUGGCAAAUCUCACUUCUCUGGCAGUACAGUGGAGCAGAUUAAAGUACGACGGUGAAUCUUGCUUCCCUGUUAUUGUAAUUAAAAAGAUUGAAGCCGCAACGGCGAAUCUUACUUGCCUGGUGAUGCAGUGGAGCAGAUUAAAGCUACGACGGCAAAUCUUGCUUCCCCGACAUUGCAAUUUAAAAUAUUGAAGCCGCAACGGUGAAUCUCACUUCUCCCUAAGCAGUAGUGGAGCAGAUCACAUCCAGUCUUAUCUCCCUAAGCAGUAGUGGAGCAGACGAAAGAAACCAAUCCUAUCUUCCUGGAGUUGUAGUGGAGCGGAUUAAAACCACAAAUCUCAUCCCCUGAAGGCACAGUGGACUUGAAUGAAGCUACUUGAAGAGAAGCACCCAAAGAAGUCAAGCCUCGGCGAGACCAGACAAAUUUGGUCCUUCUUAGUCUUUGCUCUGUUCUCGUUACACGAGAACGAGCAAAGAGGGGCAGCUGUAGAAGCCCAAAUUCGCUGGCCCAAAAAGAUAGCAGAAAAAGAAAAGAGAACCCUAGGUGCGCUGCACCUAGGGCCGCCCUUAGGCCUGCCAUUGCCACUGCCUCUGUUCGUUGCCGCCGCACGCCUCAUCCACGCGUGUCUGACACCUGCAAGAGACCACCAAACAAGGCAACAACAGUAAUAAAUGGCAAAAGACAAGGACUGGAAACAGAACGGUUUUUGUAAUUUGGCUAUAAAAAAGCCACAAUAUCUCUUUGUACUUUUUUACGAACACCCAUCGAUAAAUCGAAAAUCAGAAACUGAAGUUCCAAAAGGUUGUUCUUCUUUUAAAAAAAACUGUUCUCUUCGUUCUCUUUUUCAUAGUUUUUGUUUUUUUUCUUUUCUUUUAUUUCAAAUCUAUUUAAAAGUAAUUAAAAAACAAAAAAAGAAAAAAAGAAGGUUACCUGAAUCGGCCCCUAGGCCCGCCGUCGAUGGUGAUUCACCGUCGCCGGAUGUGGGUUCAAGGAGGGGCCGAAGUUCUUCUCUUUCCCCUCGUCUCUUCGUUCCAUGGCCUCGUCCCAUGAGCGCGUUUCAAGGCGCCGAUAGAAGCCCUCUUCGCACAGCUCUGAUCACCGGAC
rnacentral:lncRNA from 1 species